rnacentral:rRNA from 1 species
UGCCAGCAGCCGCGGUAAUACGGAGGGUCCGAGCGUUAUCCGGAAUCAUUGGGUUUAAAGGGUCCGCAGGCGGUCAAUUAAGUCAGAGGUGAAAGCCCAUCGCUCAACGAUGGAACUGCCUUUGAUACUGGUUGACUUGAGUUAUACGGAAGUAGAUAGAAUAAGUAGUGUAGCGGUGAAAUGCAUAGAUAUUACUUAGAAUACCGAUUGCGAAGGCAGUCUACUACGUAUAUACUAACGCUCAGAUGCGAAAGCGUGGGGAGCAAACAGGAUUAGAUA